GAUGAACGCUGACGGCGUGCCUAAUACAUGCAAGUCGAGCGAACGGACGAGAAGCUUGCUUCUCUGAUGUUAGCGGCGGAUGGGUGAGUAACACGUGGAUAACCUACCUAUAAGACUGGGAUAACUUCGGGAAACCGGAGCUAAUACCGGAUAAUAUUUUGAACCGCAUGGUUCAAAAGUGAAAGACGGUCUUGCUGUCACUUAUAGAUGGAUCCGCGCUGCAUUAGCUAGUUGGUAAGGUAACGGCUUACCAAGGCAACGAUGCAUAGCCGACCUGAGAGGGUGAUCGGCCACACUGGAACUGAGACACGGUCCAGACUCCUACGGGAGGCAGCAGUAGGGAAUCUUCCGCAAUGGGCGAAAGCCUGACGGAGCAACGCCGCGUGAGUGAUGAAGGUCUUCGGAUCGUAAAACUCUGUUAUUAGGGAAGAACAUAUGUGUAAGUAACUGUGCACAUCUUGACGGUACCUAAUCAGAAAGCCACGGCUAACUACGUG
rnacentral:rRNA from 1 species